GACGAACGCUGGCGGCGUGCUUAACACAUGCAAGUCGAACGGUGAACGAGGGAGCUUGCUCCCUCCGGAUCAGUGGCGAACGGGUGAGUAACACGUGAGCAAUCUGCCCCGAACUCUGGGAUAAGCGUUGGAAACGACGUCUAAUACCGGAUACGACGCGGGAGGGCAUCCUCUCCGCGUGGAAAGAACUUCGGUUCGGGAUGAGCUCGCGGCCUAUCAGCUUGUUGGUGAGGUAACGGCUCACCAAGGCGACGACGGGUAGCCGGCCGGAGAGGGUGACCGGCCACACGGGAACGGAGAAGCGGGCCAGAGUCCUAAGGGAGGCAGCAGGAGGGAAUCUUCCGCAAGGGGGGAAAGCAGGACGGAGCAACGCCGCGGGAGUGAGGAAGGGCUGCGGAUCGGAAAACGCGGUGAUUAGGGAAGAAAAAAUGGGGAAGUAACGAGGCAAGGCGUGACGGUACCUAAUCAGAAAGCCACGGCUAACUACGUG
rnacentral:rRNA from 1 species